CGAAAUGCGAUAAGUAAUGUGAAUUGCAGAAUUCAGUGAAUCAUCGAAUCUUUGAACGCACAUUGCGCCCGCCAGUAUUCUGGCGGGCAUGCCUGUUCGAGCGUCAUUACAACCCUCAGGCCCCCGGGCCUGGCGUUGGGGAUCGGCGGAAGCCCCCUGCGGGCACAACGCCGUCCCCCAAAUACAGUGGCGGUCCCGCCGCAGCUUCCAUUGCGUAGUAGCUAACACCUCGCAACUGGAGAGCGGCGCGGCCACGCCGUAAAACACCCAACUUCUGAAUGUUGACCUCGAAUCAGGUAGGAAUACCCGCUGAACUUAAGC
rnacentral:misc_RNA from 1 species